rnacentral:rRNA from 1 species
ACGACGUCAAGUCAUCAUGCCCCUUAUGUCCUGGGCUGCACACGUGCUACAAUGGCCGGUACAAUGGGCUGCGAUGCCGUGAGGCGGAAGCGAAUCCCAUAAACCGGCCCAGUUCGGAUCGGAGGCUGCAACUCGCCUCCGUGAAGUCGGAGUUGCUAGUAAUCGCGGAUCAGCAUGCCGCGGUGAAUACGUUCCCGGGUCUU